GCCUCUGUAGCACAGUUGGUUAGAGCGCUGCACCGGAAUCGCAGGGCCGUAGGUUCAAUUCCUACCAGAGGAC
rnacentral:tRNA from 1 species